rnacentral:rRNA from 1 species
GGACUACCGGGGUAUCUAAUCCUGUUUGCUCCCCUAGCUUUCGUCCCUCAGCGUCAGUUGUGAUCCAGCGAGCCGCUUUCGCCUCGGAUGUUCCUACGGAUAUCUACGCAUUUCACCGCUACACCCGUAAUUCCACUCGCCUCUCUCACACUCUAGCACAACAGUUUCGGCAGCAGCCUCCGAGUUAAGCCCGGAGAUUUCACUACCGACUUGUCACACCGCCUACGGACCCUUUACGCCCAGUAAUUCCGAGCAACGCUGGCCCCCUACGUUUUACCGCGGCUGCUGGCAC